GUGCAUGCGGCUGCUAUACAUGCAGUCGAGCGGACCGACGGGAGCUUGCUCCCUUAGGUCAGCGGCGGACGGGUGAGUAACACGUGGGUAACCUGCCUGUAAGACUGGGAUAACUCCGGGAAACCGGGGCUAAUACCGGAUGCUUGAUUGAACCGCAUGGUUCAAUUAUAAAAGGUGGCUUUUAGCUACCACUUACAGAUGGACCCGCGGCGCAUUAGCUAGUUGGUGAGGUAACGGCUCACCAAGGCAACGAUGCGUAGCCAACCUGAGAGGGUGAUCGGCCACACUGGGACUGAAACACGGCCCAAACUCCUACGGGAGGCAGCAGUAGGGAAUCUUCCGCAAUGGACGAAAGUCUGACGGAGCAACGCCGCGUGAGUGAUGAAGGUUUUCGGAUCGUAAAACUCUGUUGUUAGGGAAAAACAAGUACCGUUCGAAUAGGGCGGUACCUUGACGGUACCUAACCAAAAAGCCACGGCUAACUACGUGCCAGCAGCCGCGGUAAUACGUAGGUGGCAAGCGUUGUCCGGAAUUAUUGGGCGUAAAGCGCGCGCAGGCGGUUUCUUAAGUCUGAUGUGAAAGCCCCCGGCUCAACCGGGGAGGGUCAUUGGAAACUGGGGAACUUGAGUGCAGAAGAGGAGAGUGGAAUUCCACGUGUAGCGGUGAAAUGCGUAGAGAUGUGGAGGAACACCAGUGGCGAAGGCGACUCUCUGGUCUGUAACUGACGCUGAGGCGCGAAAGCGUGGGGAGCGAACAGGAUUAGAUACCCUGGUAGUCCACGCCGUAAACGAUGAGUGCUAAGUGUUAGAGGGUUUCCGCCCUUUAGUGGCUGCAGCAAACGCAUUAAGCACUCGGCCUGGGGGAGUACGGUCGCAAGACUGAAACUCAAGGAAUUGACGGGGGCCCGCACAGCGGUGGAGCAUGUGGUUUAUCGAGCACGCGAGACUACAGGUCUGACAUCUCUGACACCUAGGAGAUAGGCUUCCUCGGGGCAGAUGACAGGUGGUGCA
rnacentral:rRNA from 2 species